UACGUAGGGUGCGAGCGUUAAUCGGAAUUAUUGGGCGUAAAGCGCACGUAGGCGGCUUUGCAAGUCCCAUGUGAAAGCCCACGGCUUAACCGUGGAAGUGCAUGGGAAACUGCAGAGCUUGAGUACUUAAGAGGAUCGCGGAAUUCCCGGUGUAGAGGUGAAAUUCGUAGAUAUCGGGAGGAACACCAGUGGCGAAGGCGGCGAUCUGGGAAGAUACUGACGCUGAGGUGCGAAAGCGUGGGGAGCAAACAGG
rnacentral:rRNA from 1 species